GAUUUUAGUAAUGGGUUAUUGUUACAAACUUGUUUGGAUUGGAUUAUCUGCAGCUAUCCUAAUUCUGAUUUAACUACAGUUCUUGAAGUUGCGUGCCUUCUCCAAUUCCACAGAAGCAUCAGAAGACUUAAUACAGUAGUUGCAUUAUAAACAGAGAGGAAAAUAUCUGCAGCCUGAUAUACAUCCAGCCUUUCCGUAAAAUGUGCCUAAGCCUAUUUGAACAAGAAAGACCAAGGAAUCACUUGUGUCCUGCUUGAUAACUGCCCCAUCCUUUGUU
rnacentral:lncRNA from 1 species